GAACGGAUUUCUGGAACACGUACACGUAUAACCAAACAAUGUAAUCCAAACAAUUACAAUUUACAAUAAUUAUUAUACAGUCUAUACAGGUAUUAUAGCCUCAAAGUGCUGAAUAAAUGCAGGUAUAAUGGUUGACAGAGAAACCUAAGUUAUGUUUACAAUAAACUGAGACUAUAGUCUGCAAUCCUGGUCAAAAACCUUGACCCACUGGCACUGUGCUGAAUAGAAAUUGGGUUUUCCAAACUUAAAUUAGUAUUUAUUAUUGAUAAUUCUUUUUUGACCACUUGCCCUCCGGGCAAAUUGGACAUGAAAAUGUGUUUCCCUGAAUAAAAUUCACUUGCCAUCAGACAAUGGCCAUUGGCCACUGCGGUACCUACAGUAGGUAAGGGGUAUAAAUUAAGGCAGGGGACAACAUGUCAACCCGUUCUCCCACUGCUCUAUAUGGCUAUGUUAUACUGCUUCAGAUCUGCACGUCAGUAGCUUUGGCCCACAAAAAACAAAAUUUGAAUCAAGUACAUGCACUAUAAAAAUUUAUCCGAGAAUAAAAACAUAAAGGGUAACUUGCCCAAUCAGGCAAGCAAGAUAAAACGUUUACUUGACCAUCAUGAUUUCACUUGAUCGGCAAGCGGGCAAGUGUAAAGUUACACCUCUGAGGCCUGUUUUGUAAUGCGCAGGUCAACAUUAUUUAUAUGGGACAGUGGAGGGUCAAACCCAUGAACAUGUGUCAAGGUUAUUGUAUACGCUAAUGUACAGACACACUGCUAUUUGCUCAGGAGUGACAAGUAUUUUUAACCAGGAUUAGAAGAAACCGACACAGUUCAGUUGAAGUAGCUAGCAAACAAUGUACCAUAUACUUAAAUUAUCUUAAUAAAGCUGAUUACAUACAGUAUAAUUAUAUAAAUUAAUUUAUAUACUGUAGUGACUAAUAUUAAUUUAUCAAAUUAGCACCAAUUUGAGCCUAUUAGGUUUCAUUGAUGGUGGAAACAACAUACAGUACAGCCCUAAUGAAAGUUAACAUCGUGUAACGAGCGAGUUGCGAGUUCGAGCGAGAGGCUAUCGAGCGCGAUUUGACCCCUAACGAGAAAUCUGCGAGUUGGGAGUACGCGAGCGCGAAGCGAGCGAGCGUUCUCGAAAAUUUUUAAUAUCGAGCGAGUGUUCUCGAAGACUUUAAUUAGAUAUCGAGCGAGG